AUCAGUUAAAACUCUAUGAACUUCUUGUCUCUCUCUUUUGUUAUUUCUUUCCUGUUGAUGAGACUGCGAUGAACUUUAACUCUAUUUUAUUCGAAUUGCAGAGAGUUGACAUAAAUUACAGCUCAACGAUUACUCCUGAUCAGGUACGCUAAGCUUAGAUUUUGUUUAUUGCAGCUCUGUAUAUUGGAUGUUCUAACUAAGCAUAUGUUGAAUGUAAUUCUUUCUGGAAAACAAUGGUUGAUUAACAUACUUGGGAAAAACUAUGAUAUUCUGCUUGGCAUCUUCCAUUUGGACGGUUGGCUAGAGAUCUCAUACCUGAGAUUUGGGUGAGACGACAACGGCUAUAUCUUAGAGAUCGGAAGAAAGCAUAGCAGAGUGAUGAAUUUUCUGCUAUCAAUAUCCCAGUAAAAUUUUACUUUUCUUUUUUUUUUUUUAUGAAAUUCUGUUGGAAAUAUUUUCAAGUGAUACAAACAGAGAAUUUUAUAUGGCGCAUAUGACAUAGCACCGACUGCUUUGUACUUUGUAAUUAAACAAAAGCUGUUAGAUCGUCUGUCUAUUAGAGAUGGCGACAGAUUGGAUAAAGGUUAAAUAUCUUAAUUUUUAUCU